rnacentral:rRNA from 1 species
CAGAGGGGGCAAGCGUUGUUCGGAAUUACUGGGCGUAAAGGGCGCGUAGGCGGCCUGCUAAGUCGAACGUGAAAUCCCUGGGCUCAACCCAGGAACUGCGUCCGAUACUGGUUGGCUUGAAUUCGGGAGAGGGAUGUGGAAUUCCAGGUGUAGCGGUGAAAUGCGUAGAUAUCUGGAGGAACACCGGUGGCGAAGGCGGCAUCCUGGACCGAUAUUGACGCUGAUGCGCGAAAGCCAGGGGAGCAAACGGGAUUAGAUACCCCGGUAGUCCUGGCCCUAAACGAUGAAUGCUUGGUGUGGGCGGGUAUCGAUCCCUGCCGUGCCGAAGCUAACGCAUUAAGCAUUCCGCCUGGGGAGUACGGUCGCAAGGCUG